rnacentral:lncRNA from 1 species
CCAUGGAUGUUAUGGUUGGUUAAACAAGUUAAUUAUUCUGAUUCUCUGCGACGCUUUAAUCCAUAAACGCAUAUUUUAUUUGUGAAAAAAAAAGAAAAAAAAAACUUUUUCUCAAGUGAUUCCGAUAGUGCCACGAAGAAUAAUACACUCAAGUAGUUUUUAGUUCUAAGAGCUCUUAACGCAAAAGACGUUUGCUUAUUGAUUACUUUUUGCAUAAAAACAUAAGAGCACAGAGUUAGGCUUUUUCGAGGGAUCAGCCGAAUUAAGUCGACUAGUAUACUUCGAAAAAGCGCAGCAGAAAAUGGAAGUGGAAAGUUUUUGCGAUGAAUAAUUUAGCUACCAUAAUUGUUUUUCUUUCGCAGAAAUGCAAUUUCUUACACACACAAGAAAAAAAAUAAUACUAUCCUUUUCCUGGAUUAAGGCAGAAAAUGAACUUAAAACCUCAAGCUACUUGAUUUCUGGAUGUGAUUUUUAAAUUUCCUUCUUAAUUAAUUCUUUCCUUCAAGGUGGGGCAAGAGACCAGGCACGCGGGAUUUCCUGUACAGAGUGUCCGAUAAAAAUGGCGAAAAGGGAUACGAGGACGAAUACGAGGAGGAAUCUAGAAAAUCAAGGGACGCCGAUACCUAUCUAGACUCAAUUCUGAGCACGAUUUUUGACUCGCAACUGUGCCUGCAACGCAUUGCAUGUCAGCUUGGAGUCAGGGACGCGGAUUCCAAAUAUAGGAAGUCUGUUUCGUGGGCGCUGAAGUAUCUGCAGACAUUCAAAAUGGCUGAAAGCAGCCCCGAAAUUCAAGCAAGACUGAAAUCGUACAGGAAUGCCUACAACCUGGGUGCUGAGCAAAAUUCUACCGAAUUUUGCUCUUCAGACGAACGGUUUCCAUGUGAAACGCCACAUAUCGUCCUCAGACAAGCAAAGAGAUCGAUCACCUUAAUUUAAUCAAUUCACUUUGGAAACUGGAACCUUGCGAAUAAAUUUUACUCAAAGCAGUUGAACGGAUAUUCGCACAGUUACUUAUCACAGGACUGCAGAUCGUGUUGGAGAUCUCUAUACCUACACUUUUAAAUUCAUAUUCACAUGACAUAGAUGAUAUGUGUCACAUGAACUUCUUAAAAUUUUCAAUUCAGUCUCCAUGCAAAUCUUAGGUGGAGUUUUUCUUACUAUUAUUUACACAAAAGUGAAUACACUAAAGAAAAAUUGACACAUUUUUUCUGAAUUCCCAAAAACAAUAAAAACAUUUUUCUAUUUCUCAAGCCUUUAAUAACCAUCCUAAAAUAAUAGAAUAAUUUCAAUGAAGAUGCUGAAAUAGAACCGUUUAAUUUCGACUGAAUAUAUUUCUUGUAAUUUCAAAAUACUUUUGAGACAGGAAACCUCAUUUAAGAGUUCAAAUAAUAUUGAGCACUAGUACACAAUGUGUGGUGGUUGCUGCUCUAAAUUAUGGAAAUAUACCGCAUAAACACUAUAUUUUGCUGUGAGCUUCCUAUUAACAUCCUCUAAAAUAACCGUGAAACUGUUUUUCUUUGUCAUGUGUGAUUACAUCAUGGAUUUUAUGAAAAAUAGUUUGGUAUUAUGGGCUCACGCAUAUCCUGAUGAAUCAGUGUUGCUUAACUAUAGUAGCUACAACCGAACAAAAUAACGCUCUGUUUCCAUACAUGAGUAUAGAAAAGGACGCCAGUUUAGCAGUCAAUUGGUAAUGCACCGCAACGCAACUUUAUCACUUUGUAAAUAUCUUUGUAUCAUUAAUUUAUUUGUACAUAAGUUGAAUAAUUAAGUCUGUAACUUAUCAUGUGCCAUUAUUCAAACAAAUAAAUGCAAAACCAGACUUAA